rnacentral:rRNA from 1 species
UACGUAGGGCGCAAGCGUUGUCCGGAAUUAUUGGGCGUAAAGAGCUCGUAGGCGGUUUGUCGCGUCUGCUGUGAAAACCUAAGGCUCAACCUUGGGCUUGCAGUGGGUACGGGCAGACUAGAGUGCGGUAGGGGUGACUGGAAUUCCUGGUGUAGCGGUGGAAUGCGCAGAUAUCUGGAGGAACACCGGUGGCGAAGGCGGCAUCCUGGACCGGCAUUGACGCUGAGGCGCGAAAGCCAGGGGAGCAAACGGG